rnacentral:snRNA from 1 species
AGCUUUUCACAGUGGCAGUAUCGUAGCCAAUGAGGUUAAUCGGAGGUGUGAUUAUUGUUAAUUGUAAGCUUUUCCCAAUACCCCACCGUGACGACUUGAAAUAUAGUUGGCACUGGCAAUUAAAAAAAAUUUUUUAAAG